rnacentral:tRNA from 1 species
GGGGAUUUAGCUCAGCGGUAGAGUGCUUGCCUAGCAAGCUCAAGGCCCUUGGUUCAAUCCCCA